rnacentral:sRNA from 1 species
GUCCCAUGGUGGUAGCUGCGGUCAGGA